UACGUAGGGGGCAAGCGCUGUCCGGAUUUAUUGGGCGUAAAGAGCGUGUAGGCGGCCAGGUAGGUCUGCUGUGAAAACUCGAGGCUUAACCUCGAGAUGUCGGCGGAAACCGUCUGGCUAGAGUCCGGGAGAGGAGAGUGGAAUUCCUGGUGUAGCGGUGAAAUGCGCAGAUAUCAGGAAGAACACCCGUGGCGAAAGCGGCUCUCUGGAACGGUACUGACGCUGAGACGCGAAAGCGUGGGGAGCGAACAGG
rnacentral:rRNA from 1 species